UACAAAGGUCUCAAGCGUUGUUCGGAUUCAUUGGGCGUAAAGGGUGCGUAGGCGGCGCGGUAAGUCGGAUGUGAAAUCUCGGAGCUUAACUCCGAAACUGCAUUCGAUACUGCCGUGCUUGAGGACUGGAGAGGAGACUGGAAUUUACGGUGUAGCGGUGAAAUGCGUAGAUAUCGUAAGGAAGACCAGUGGCGAAGGCGGGUCUCUGGACAGUUCCUGACGCUGAGGCACGAAGGCCAGGGGAGCAAACGGG
rnacentral:rRNA from 1 species